CAAAAACCUAGGGGAUGACUGACCCACUAAAUGGAAGAGACAUGAGCCACCAAAUGACUGCACAGGCAGAGAACAUCCCUGCCAACCUGCAUUAGACGGACACAGCAAGAAAUGAACCUUUAUUGUGGUAGGCCACUGAGAUUUGGGAGUUGUUUGUAACUGCGGUUCACCUACCUCAACUAAUACACUUAAUAUGAUAGGACGAUGGAGCAUGCUCAACAGCAGCAUGGAAGUCAUCAAGCAACCCGGCAUCCUGGUGACCUGGCCUGGUAACAUGCCUUGGGACCAUCCUGGGCACCAUAGGGCUCCAAGGAAUGGGAAAGAAGCAACAUAAAAUACUUGACAUUACCCCAUUUAUGGAAACUCAUCCCAGAAAACUUCCCUGAGACAAAAGUUCAGUAAGGCAAGAAUAUAUCUGAAAUUCUUGCUGGAGAUAUCAAUUUAAAACAUAAAUGCAAACUAGGCUAUGACCAAACUCCAACAUGUCUGUGGGUACAUGAUUUCAUACAGAGGAAUAUGAUGGUUUGCAUGGAAACUAGAGAAAGAAGAAUUAGAAAAUAUAUCUUUGCUAGUAUUUCUCCUGUACUAGCCAGAGAAAGAGUAUUCUGAUUCUUGAUCUGUGGCCAGCUUUUUAGGAAGAAAUACCUCUAAUAUGUGGAAGGACAAUUCCUUAGUACUUCUCAGUUUGCUGGAAAUCCAUCCCAAAAGCAUCCAAUUCCAUUUGUUUUAACUGUGUGCUCACCCAACAACUUUCUGACUUACAAUUUGGUGUCCUAACUGUAUGUGCACAACAAAAAGAAAACAUUCAGGGAAGAAGAACAGGGAGAGAGCAAGAAGGAGGAGUCUGCUAUUUGUAAGAAAGGGAAGGUGUUUUGUGACAAGUUUAAAUCUGGUUAUCAUGCUUGCUAUAUAUCCUAUUACAGGUUAAUAAAUUAGCAUUCUGAUUUAUGUAUAUAAGGCUCUUGAAAGAUGGUUGGUUUCCUGGUACCUAACCAUCCCUUGGUAAAAUUUUAAUUUUAUUUUUAUUUUUUUUGACAGAGUCUUACUCUGUCACCCAGGCUGGAGUGCAGUGGCGCGAUCUCAGCUCACUGCAACCUCCGCCUCAGUUCAAGUGAUUCUCCUGCCUCAGCCUCCUGAGCAGCUGGGAUUACAGGCACGCGCCACCACACCUGGCUAAUUUUUUGUAUUUGUAGUAGAGAUGGGGUUUCACCACAUUGGUCAGGCUGGUCUCGAACUCCUGACCUCAUGAUCCGCCUGCUUCGGCCUCCCAAAGUGCUGGGAUUACAGGCGUGAGCCACCACGCCCAGUCCCUAAAAUUUUAAUUUUUAAACUUACAAAUUUGAGGACCAGAAUCUGGACUCAUCAACGUGGCUCUGAAACUCGAUGUCUAUAACCAUCAUUAAUACAACAACGGAACGCUUGUUUUGUUUUGCGGAACUUGUUUUGUCUUGCAUUCAUUCUAUCUUCCUUAAAUAAUGUCUCUUGAAAAAAAGAAAUCUUUGGAAGAAAUUCAAGACAGAUUAUCUUCUUUAAUAGAAGAAUUUCUGAAUCUCUGAAAACAUGGUAAUGCCAAAGCUUUAGCCUUUAUAUUUGGAAGUAACCAACUAUAACUUAGGAUGAAAAGAAGAAAAGCAUUGAAUGCUUUGCUCAGACCAUAAAUUCCAUAUCCAUUUUCCCUAGCGUUUGGGAUAAUUAAGUUCAUUGUACUAGUGGUUUUUUUUUUUUCCCUUAGGGAUUCUACCUGGAAUAUACUAAUAUUUUCAAGCACUCAUAGAAAAUGGUGUAAAUAAAAUUGUUACACAUGGAAAUACACAUUUAUAAUUUUGAUAUAUUUUGCCAAAUUGCUCUCUAAAAGGGUUAAUUCCAUUUACGUUCCAACAAAAUAUUUGUUUUCCCACAUCCUUCCCCAUAUUAAAUGUUAACCUGUUCAAUUUGUCAAUCAGACACAAGGAAAAUUAUAUCCUUAUUGUUUAAUUUGCAUUUUCUGAAUUGUGAAGAUAUUAAAUAUACUCAUGUCAAUAGGCUAUUAUCUUUCAUUUCAGUAUCUGGAUGUGAGUGGUUUUUGCCUAUUUGUUGCUUAUUGACUUGUAAGAGAUCUUUGUAUAUUAAAG
rnacentral:lncRNA from 1 species